GCGUCCCCUACCCCUCUCCUCCUCCCCACCCCCACCGCGCAUUUCCCGCGCCUUUAGGGAAACGUACACAAACAGUGAAACUCGGUGUCGCGUUCGGCGUUUCUGCCAAAUACCGAUAAUAACUACUCAUAUAAUUAAUGAUCAUAUGAUUUUAACCAGAAUUGUGGAGUGGACAUCGCCGCUUUUCGUUAUUAAUCGCAAGGAACUCUGCCCAGAAAUGUUCUUGACAUGAGCAAGAGAAGUCUAUGGAGUCAUUUUACCCCAAAGAAUAGGUGAGUUGACAUGACAGUAACCAACGCUGGUCUAAUUUGUCUCUGUACAGACAAUAUGAGGAGCUUCCUUUCAUGUCCACAAAGGGUGGUUUUUGAUGUUUUUUGUGGUGCCUUGGUUUUUUGUUGUUGCUUUCAACCCUCCUCUGUCAAAAUCCAGGCUGAUUUGUUAUAACUGAAAAUGUCUUUUAAAAAUCUUGGCAAUUUGGAAAAUUGCUGGAAUUGGUUUGGAUUGGUGGGGCAGACUCCCUUUUCACAUGCUCUGUCUAAAUAUCAUGGUGCCGAUCCACUACAGCAGAGUUCUUAGCCAGUGCGCCUUAGGUAGCCUACCCGCCCUUAGUUAGAGAGACCAGCUCUUAUAAAACUCAAGUCUUUGUGGACAGGGGUGGUUUCUGACAGA